rnacentral:lncRNA from 1 species
GAGCAAUUGCAUUUCAGACGCCAUCAUGUCAGAACAGGAGUGCUUGAGGGUCUGCGUGGAAAGGUGGUUCCCCUUCGUUUAUGUUUACGGUCCCUAUCCGAACUUCACAAUAUUCGGGUCCUUGAUUGAAGUUAUCGACACCAUCGCGGAUAAGCUCGGCGUCUGUUACGAAUUUGUCUUCACGGAGGAACGCAUUUAUGGAUGGGAAAAUAAUGGCACAUGGAAUGGGCUGAUGGGUAUAUUGACAA